rnacentral:misc_RNA from 1 species
GUGGGUUGAGAUUAUAGUUGUCAUCAUGGCGGUAGCGGCAAUAGAUGAUUGCUAUGAUGAUUGUGCUAGUAAUUCUGGUCAUAGAUAUAAUGGCACUCGGAGUGAUAGUUAUUGAGGUGAUAAAGAUAAUGGUGGUAUUGGAGUGAUACAAGUAGUAGUAGCAACUGAUAGCCACAGCAGUGAUGAUCUUGAUGAAAACAGUGGUAGUAGUGUUAGAG